CAAGGUCCCAGGUACUCGAAAAAUUCCUUUUUUUUCUUCCUUUACAGCAGUGAGGAGGCGCGUUUGAUCGUGGCGAGGCGUGGUGAGCGCUCGUCCACCUCGCAAAUCCUCGCAUUUCCUCGCAAAAUCACUGGAAUGCUCCUCUCGCGUUUGAUCGUGGUGAGCUCGUGGUGGGCACUUGACCUCGCAAAUUGCCCCGCAAAACCACUAGAAGCAAACGCUCACGAUUGACAAUGGAAAUGCCGCGUCCGUCCAUGGUGGACCUCCUCGCGAUGAAUAUACUAUGAUAGCUAUAUCAUAUGAAACACCGAAAGCAUGGUCCUUCCUUUUUUAAUAAUCUAAGCAUUCCAUAUGAUA